CGUUUUUCAGUUCGUCCAGUGAGAUCGUUGUCAGCUCGUGAAUUUCGGCCCUGUUUAUCGGUUUGGCAACAGAAGAUCUCGUGCUGGGUUUUCUUCCAUUUCUGAUAGCUGCGGUGUGCAUUUCGUCUGGUCAGUAUAAUGAGUAAACAAACUGGCAAAGCUUCAUGGGAUAUAAGAACCACAAAGGUUUUUAUUGACCUAUGCAUUGAAGAAGUUGAAAAAGGGGGAAGAAAAGGAACUAGCUUGACAAAACCUGCUUGGACAAGUAUUGUGGACAGCUUCACUGCAAAGACUGGAAGAGUCUAUACAAGAAUUCAAUUGAAAAACAAAUAUGAUACCCUGCGAAAGGAGUGGCAGUUAUGGGAUAGGCUGCUCCGUGAGACAGGUUUGGGAUGGGAUGCCGAAAGGAAUACUGUUAGUGCCCCUGAUGAUUGGUGGGAGAAGAAAAUAGUGGAAGUUCCUGGCUAUGAGAAAUUUAGAGAAAGAGGGCUUCAGUUUCGA